rnacentral:rRNA from 1 species
AAUCCGCUUUGAGAUGGCCUCGCGUCCGAUUAGCUAGUUGGUGAGGUAACGGCCCACCAAGGCGACGAUCGGUAGCCGGACUGAGAGGUUGAACGGCCACAUUGGGACUGAGACACGGCCCAGACUCCUACGGGAGGCAGCAGUGGGGAAUAUUGCACAAUGGGGGAAACCCUGAUGCAGCGACGCCGCGUGGAGGAAGAAGGUCUUCGGAUUGUAAACUCCUGUUGUUGGGGAAGAUAAUGACGGUACCCAACAAGGAAGUGACGGCUAACUACGUGCCAGCAGCCGCGGUAAAACGUAGGUCACAAGCGUUGUCCGGAAUUACUGGGUGUAAAGGGAGCGCAGGCGGGAAGACAAGUUGGAAGUGAAAUCCAUGGGCUCAACCCAUGAACUGCUUUCAAAACUGUUUUUCUUGAGUAGUGCAGAGGUAGGCGGAAUUCCCGGUGUAGCGGUGGAAUGCGUAGAUAUCGGGAGGAACACCAGUGGCGAAGGCGGCCUACUGGGCACCAACUGACGCUGAGGCUCGAAAGUGUGGGUAGCAAACAGGAUUAGAUACCCUGGUAGUCCACACCGUAAACGAUGAUUACUAGGUGUUGGAGGAUUGACCCCUUCAGUGCCGCAGUUAACACAAUAAGUAAUCCACCUGGGGAGUACGACCGCAAGGUUGAAACUCAAAGGAAUUGACGGGGGCCCGCACAAGCAGUGGAGUAUGUGGUUUAAUUCGACGCAACGCGAAGAACCUUACCAAGUCUUGACAUCCGUUGACCGACAUAGAAAUAUGUUUUUCCUUCGGGACAGCGAGACAGGUGGUGCAUGGUUGUCGUCAGCUCGUGUCGUGAGAUGUUGGGUUAAGUCCCGCAACGAGCGCAACCCUUAUGGUCAGUUACUACGCAAGAGGACUCUGGCCAGACUGCCGUUGACAAAACGGAGGAAGGUGGGGAUGACGUCAAAUCAUCAUGCCCUUUAUGACUUGGGCUACACACGUACUACAAUGGCGUUAAACAAAGAGAAGCAAGACCGCGAGGUGGAGCAAAACUCAGAAACAACGUCCCAGUUCGGACUGCAGGCUGCAACUCGCCUGCACGAAGUCGGAAUUGCUAGUAAUCGUGGAUCAGCAUGCCACGGUGAAUACGUUCCCGGGCCUUGUACACACCGCCCGUCACACCAUGAGAGCCGGGGGGACCCGAAGUCGGUAGUCUAACCGCAAGGAGGACGCCGCCGAAGGUAAAACUGGUGAUUGGGGUGAAGUCGUAACAAGGUAGCCGUAGGAGAACCUGCGGCUGGAUCACCUCCUUUCUAAGGA